UACGUAGGUGGCAAGCGUUGUCCGGAUUUACUGGGCGUAAAGAGCGCGCAGGCGGUCGUUCAAGUCGCGUGUGAAAGCGCCCGGCUCAACUGGGGAGGGUCACGCGAUACUGAUCGACUCGAAGGCAGGAGAGGGUAGUGGAAUUCCCGGUGUAGUGGUGAAAUGCGUAGAUAUCGGGAGGAACACCAGUGGCGAAGGCGACUACCUGGCCUGUUCUUGACGCUGAGGCGCGAAAGCUAGGGGAGCGAACGGG
rnacentral:rRNA from 1 species